ensembl:lncRNA
AUAAGUGGAACCACCUUCGAUGCCACGCCUCCCUUUAAGACCAGCGGAGACGAGGUUGUAACUCUGGACCAAUGUGUGGAUUUUCUUCAGAAGAAUAUUUAUCUUAAUGAGAAAGGGGAAACUGAAGAAAAACACAUCCACCAUCGAUGUAAGCCGUGUGACCGCACAACCACGCCCACAACCACGGCCACAACCACGCCCAUAAACACGCCCACAAACAACCACACAGGACUGAUCACAGGUAUAGUCGUUCUGGUGGUCAUUGGGAGCAUUGUGAUCGUUGUGAUCAUCGGCUGUUGUUAAGAAAAAUGCUCUUCCCAUGUCAAACAAAGUCAUCUGACUGUACUUCUCACUGCAC